rnacentral:lncRNA from 1 species
CGCCAAUCCUCCUCUUCUUGCUGAGGAAGACUGGCCCUGAGCUAACAUCCAUGCCCAUGUGUCUGUGUGUCCCUGCUGCAGUAAAAGUUCCCUUUUCUUUCCUGGGAAAAGAGAUGGAAACGCAUCAAGGAGGAAUGAAAGGCUGUUGGACAGAUCUUCUGGGACUGCGUUAGCCAUGGGGUUCUUGGAGAAAGAGAGAGAUGGACUGUGGCGGAUGACAAAGGAUCCACUUCCUGACAACCUGGGAGAUUGGGGCUGGAGCCACUUCUAUUUUCACUUCAGAAUCUAUUGUCAGGCUCAUUUUUAUCAAUCUGGUAGGAGUGAAGUGAUAUCUAGUAAGCAAAUGGGGAUCUCAGUCCUGUACCCACAAGGAAACAAAUUCUGCCACAACCAUGUCAGCUUGAAAGAGGACCAUGAGCUCCAGAAUGAAACGCAGCCUGCCUAACACCAUGACUGUACCUUGUGAGACUCUGAGCAGAGGACCCAGGAAAGCCAUGCCUGCAUCCUGACCCCCCAGAAAUGGAGAUAAUAAAUGUAUAUUGUUUUAAGC